AGAGUUUGAUCCUGGCUCAGAACGAACGCUGGCGGCGUGGCUAAGACAUGCAAGUCGAACGGACUGUUCUAUUGGGUAACCGAGCGAACAGUUAGUGGCGAAAGGGUGAGGAAUGGAUAGGUAACGUACCCUGUGCUUCGGGAUAGCUCAUACCCGCAAGGGUAUUUCCGAAAGGGGCAUUAAUACCGAAUAACAUAACUUGUCGAAUGGCGAGUUAUCAAAGAUUUAUCGGCGUAGGAGCGGCCUAUUCCCUAUCAGCUAGUUGGUGAGGUAAUGGCCCACCAAGGCAAUGACGGGUAGCGGGACUGAGAGGUUGACCCGCCACAUCGGGACUGAGACACUGCCCGGACCUCCACGGAGGGCUGCAGUAACGAAUAUUGGGCAAUGAGCGAAAGCUUGACCCAGCGACGCCGCGUAUAGGAUGAAGUCCUUCGGGAUGUAAACUAUUGUCAGGGGUUAGAAAUUGCGUUUCGGCGCAUUGAUCGGCCCCAGAGGAAGUCACGGCUAACUUCGUGCCAGCAGCCGCGGUAAGACGAAGGUGGCAAGCGUUGUUCGGAAUUACUGGGCUUAAAGGGCGCGUAGGCGGAAUAUUAAGCGUUUUGUGAAAUCCCCCGGCUCAACCGGGGAAUCGCUUGGCGAACUGGUAUUCUUGAGGCAAGCAGGGGUGCAUGGAACUCUUGGUGGAGCGGUGGAAUGCGUAGAUAUCAAGAGGAACGCCAAUGGUGAAGACAGUGCACUGGGCUUGUUCUGACGCUGAGGCGCGAAAGCGUGGGGAUCAAACAGGAUUAGAUACCCUGGUAGUCCACGCCCUAAACAAUGUCUACUAGGUUGUGGGAGACUGACUCUCUCGCGGCCGAAGCAAAAGUGUUAAGUAGACCGCCUGGGGAGUACGGUCGCAAGGCUAAAACUCAAAGGAAUUGACGGGGGCUUACACAAGCGGUGGAGUAUGUGGAUUAAUUCGAAACAACGCGCAGAACCUUACCUGGGUUUGACAUGCUUGGAUGGUUGCCUGGAAACAGGUUAAUCUGCCCUUCGGGGUGAAACUUGCACAGGUGCUGCAUGGCUGUCGUCAGCUCGUGUCGUGAGAUGUCGGGUUAAGUCCUUUAACGAGCGAAACCCUUGUCGUUAGUUACCAUCAGGUCAAGCUGGGGACUCUAACGAGACUGCCGGUGUUAAACCGGAGGAAGGUGGGGAUGACGUCAAGUCCUCAUGGCCUUUAUGCCCAGGGCCUCACACGUACUACAAUGGCGACCACAAAGCGACGCGAUACCGCGAGGUGGAGCAAAUCGCAAAAAGGUCGCCCCAGUUCAGAUUGCAGGCUGCAACUCGCCUGCAUGAAGUCGGAAUCGCUAGUAAUCGCGUAUCAGCUACGACGCGGUGAAUAUGUUCCUGAGCCUUGUACACACCGCCCGUCAAGUGAUGGGAGCCGGUAGUACCCGAAGUCGGGUUGUCAACCGCAAGGAGACGCCUGCCGACGGUAAGAUCGGUGACUGGCACUAAGUCGUAACAAGGUA
rnacentral:rRNA from 1 species